rnacentral:rRNA from 1 species
UACGUAGGGGGCAAGCGUUGUCCGGAAUCAUUGGGCGUAAAGAGCGUGUAGGCGGCCCGAUAAGUCCGCUGUGAAAGUCCAGGGCUCAACCUCGAGACGCCGGUGGAAACCAUCAGACUAGAGUCCGGAAGAGGAGAGUGGAAUUCCUGGUGUAGCGGUGAAAUGCGCAGAUAUCAGGAGGAACACCGGUGGCGAAGGCGGGUCUCUGGGCCGAUACUGACGCUGAGGAGCGAAAGCGUGGGGAGCGAACAGG